ensembl:snoRNA
GCACCUGAAUCUUUCCCACUCCUUGCUCCUGCAUGUAGGAGUGGGGACAGAUGGUGCUAUAACAUAGCAGAGGAAAUCCAGAUGGGUUUCCAUUGUCUUGAAACCUGUCUCUACAACUCUCGCCACACUU